rnacentral:rRNA from 1 species
GACAUAGGUGGCGAACGUUAUCCGGAAUUAUUGGGCGUAAAGGAUGCGUAGAUGGUAGAAUAAGUUACUGGUCGAUGCCAAACUCAAUUUGACGGAAGCUAGUAAUACUGUUCUGCUUGAGGGCAGGAGAGGUUGAUGGAAUUCUGUGUGGAGCGGUGAAAUGCGUAGAUAUCUGGAGGAACACCGGUGGCGAAGGCGGCAUUCUGGACUGUAACUGACACUGAGAGACGAAAGCCAGGGGAGCAAACGGG